CCCCACAACACCCUACCCGCUAGAGUUGGGGAGUCACCUCCGAGAAGUCUUCAAAAACCAGGAGUUCAACCUGUUGGCCGGCAUUUUAAACCAUUUGAUCACAGAAAAAUGAAUCCAAUGGCUGAUAUUCAGGAAAACCCUUAUGAAGUACAAGCCGAGAAUCCUUAUGGCACUUUUAGACAGGAGCCGGUGCAGUACAGUGCAGAGAAUACCUAUGUUGUACACCACAACACAAACAUACCGUACAUGCCUAGUGAGUUGCGGCACACAAACUACGGUACAAAACCACAGUUUGUUCACCCACAGGUAUAGAACCA